GGGAGUGUUUUAACGUGACCGAGCUGACCGAAUACUUACUGUACCCAUAUGAUGAUGACUACUUCCUAGACCAAUAUUAUAUAAUGGAAGAUCACUGAACAAAUGUUAUAAAUAAAUAAAAAUAUUUUAUAUUGUUA